GCGGAUGUAGCCAAGUGGAUCANGGCAAU
rnacentral:tRNA from 1 species